UGUAACAAGGAUGGGUGGGAAACAAAGGAGCUUAACUUUCAGAAUUGUCUUUAAUUAUAAUCAAAAUCAAAUGAUAUGAUUAGGGUUUUGUUUUCAGUGUCAAGAACAUUAGAAUUAAAUCGAGGGAAUUCAGCUCUUAAUGAUCAACCCUUGAUUUGAUUUUUCAUGUGUUUACUGUUGUCUGAUUUUAACACCAUGCAAAUGAUUUCCAGUUUUUAUUUUUCUUUCAUAGAUAACAGAAGAAACAGAACUGAAACCGAAACUGAGUUUUGAAUACCAAGAUAGUCAAGAUUUCAGGCAAUGGAUUACAAUUUACACAUACCAGGCCUUUCUACUUAGUAGAUGCAUACAAGAAAUUGUAAAAGAAAAACUGAAGAUAUCUGCAGGAUAUACAGAAAUGCAGAUUGAAAAUGCAAAAUCAGAAUGUAGGACCACACCCUGGAAUCCGUUGACUACUUUGAGUAAGUAUUCUGGAGCUGUGCUACAGAAAAAGUUACUCAAGACAUAAAAACCCAGAGAAAGCAUAUUUGAAUAAGUCGCUGAUGAGAACUUGUGACCACAAUCAGAGUCUGAAAAUGCAAUAUUAACACAUUUGAUUGUACAAUGCUUGAUUGCAUUUAGAGUGGAUACUGCACAUAAUCUGCUUUCAUUAUUUAACAGAAAAGUAUACCUCAGGAGCUUUAAUCCCCCAUUUGGAAAGCCAUAAACCAUUGAAAUUGGGUUUGGUUCAAUCUGAGCUAUUUUGACUUUUCUCUGUUUAAAUGCAUGUUGGGGAUUUCUGUGCAAUGGAUUUCUCUGCAAUGUAUGUGUAAUUUCUAUGAUUGAGGUUAAAUGUCACUAGAAAUGCAAUGGAUUUAUGAUUUAUUUUCUCCACUUAAGUUUGCGAGUAGCCAAAUACUAUCAACGAUACAAUAGGUCAUAUUAAUUGCUCAGUUUUAGUACUUGAAUUAGGUCUUUAUAGAUCCUGAUUGUCUUUACAUUUAUUAAUUCAAGAAAUGUGCAAAUCAGUUUAUCUAUGUAACAUUUGUUUAAAAGUUUAAAUUAAUAUUUUCCAUUUGAUUCAAUAUUUUUGGUAGGAGUCCCUAAUGGGCCUCCUCAAGUCUAAACAUAUAGGUAAUGCUUACGGUUGAUCUGCGGAAGAGUUUGGCCUUUGAGAGGAAUAAACCAGCUUUCGUUAUCUUGUUUCAGUAUUUCAGUUCCCUUUCUGGGUUAGGUAUAUUGUUUGAAAUGCAGAAAUUUAGACCAGACAAUAGCAGCACAAACAGACAAAUAUUUAGUAUUUCUGCAUUUUAGACGUCAUUGUACUUGCAGGCAAAUUUUGGAUACAUCUGCACAAAUUUCUACACCCCAGCUUUAUAUUUAAAAAAUCCACCUAUUGUUAUAUUGCUAGGAUACAAGAAAUAAGACAUAUAAAUGAGAAAGAUUCAGCACUGACUACAGAGUAAUAUCUGAAAUAUAAACAAAUUCUGAAGUAUUAAAGUUAAUUAGCAUGUCCACUUCCCAAAGUUCUGAAUUCUUUAGUAAAUCUUGCCCCUGCUAAUAUUCUGAAGACAUCAGUACCUGUCUAGAUAUCCAAGUAUUUAGUUACAAAUUAACUCUUAGUAUUGAAGAUUUACGAAUUAGAAUAAGCUAUUUAAGGUAUUUUCAUUAUUUUGAUCCGUGGAAUUGGGAAAAAAUAUGUUUAAGCUGCUUUCACUGGUGGUGACACAGAAUAGAAGUAGGAUAUGGUUUCUUUUUUAAUUGACUUUUAAAAAUGAGUCAUUUGAAAUGUAAUUUGACAGCUUGUAUGUUGAAGCUCAAAACCUUUGGGAGAUUUUUGUAUUGAAAAGUUUCAUGAUAAAUCAUAUUACUAAUGCACAUGUUGAACAAUAAUAAACAACUAUGUUUUCUA